rnacentral:lncRNA from 1 species
UUUUGAGUAGUCAACCAUGCAAUCCACAAAUUAGAAUAUAUUCUUUUAAUUUCAGCAUAAAAAAAAUGCAAAAUCAAAGGAUAAAUUUUGCCCAAGGAAACUAUAUAUAUAUAUAUGGUGAGUUAUCAAAACCCCUUCAACUCUAUUUGAUUGGAAGAUGAGAAGAAGAAAAUUUAUAAUAUGAGAGAAGGGGUUGGAUCAUCUUUGUCUAAUAUUAUUACUAUUUUUGGUUUAGGUCUUCAUUCUUCCCUUUCAAUGUUAUGUUGUAUAACUUCUUUUUCCUUCCCCCUAUCUUGAAAAAGUUCUAAAUGUGCGCGGAUGGAUUUGCUACUAAGGGGCGUGGAAAUGGAAGGAAGAGAUGUUUAGUAUGACGUGAAGAGUGUCGUUCGAUAGUCAAAAAUAACAUAAAUGAUGAUGCGUAGUUUUAUUUGUAUCAGCUAAUCAUUUUGGUUAAACUAACGAACUCCUCUCCAUCAUUCUAGACCUUCUCUUUCUCUAUACUCUAUAGUAAAAUGAAAGUGUGCAAACUUGACCUUCUUACAAUGUAAGUGGAUUUAAUUUUUAAUUUUCUCUUAGUUUUUUUAUUAUAAUUAUAUUUGUUAGUAAGUUCCAUUAAUAUCUUUUUUAUGCUUAAAUAUAUAGGUUGUAUGGUCCUUAAUAUUUAUGUUAUUUUUCGUGUAAGGUAGUUGAGCCUAGAUGUCACAACUAUGGCCACAACAAUAAUAAUAUUUAGAUGUGUAUUUUGAGUAAUACCUAUCUUUAUGCAUCUUAUCAAACAAACAAUUGAAAAGAGAAUAUAAUUAUAAUAUUCAAGUUAAGGUGCAAAAAUCACCUCAAAAGUAGGUAAUGAUAUAGUUGAAACUAUACCAUCAAAUUUUCAAUUGUAAAAAAUUAAGCUCUUGUGUUUAUACAAGUAAUAAAAAUGGACUCUCAAAUUUGUAUAAUUGUAGAAAUGGUUAAGAAUCAUACAACUUUAAGGGAUCGAUUUUUAUGAUUUUGCAUGUAUUUAAAAAUGUUCAGUUAACGACGGAGAAAUAUUCCGAAGGAAAAUAUCAUUUACUUUUAAUUUUAUUAGUAAAAAUAAGCUCAUUUGGAGUGAUUUAAUUUUCUAACAAAUAGCUCACAAUUCUUUUCUAUCAACUUUGAAAUCUAUUGUUCGACCGUCCACCCCACGUACUACUGUCAAAAGUUGACAUGGACUAUAAAUAAAACAAAUCUUUUUAUUCUCUCUUCGAAAAAAUCGAUUUCUAUUUAAAAAAUUUCUUCAAGAAUAAAGAUCAUGUCAAUUUAUUUACAACAAAACAUUUUAUACCAUAAAAUCAAGGAGCCAUUAGAGAAGUUCAGGAAUUCAUGAACAUAAAACAAUUAUUUCUGUAUACACACACAAAACGGAUUCAUAUCAUACAAGCCUUGAACCAUUAUAGGAAUAUAUAUAUAUACAUAUUUGAAUCCUCAAAAACCAUUUUAAUCACUAGUUGAUAUAUAAAAUGUUCAAAUCUCAAGUGGUAGAUACAAAAGUUUCGUUGGUGGAGGCUUUAUAAUUCAAUAAGAAUAAUAUAAGAAUUGGAGCUUGGGGUUGGAAGGCAAAUUUACUGCUGAGUUAGCUAAUAGUAUUGUUACUUUGUCAGUAGCCCCUAAAACUAUACUAAAUUAGCUAGUCCAUUAGUGUCUGUAGUCAAGAAAACAGCCCAAAUUGCAAAUCUAUGGAAGACUAUUAGAUUAAGGGAGGAAAAAAAAUAUAUGAAAGAUGAUAUAAACCAGUCAGAGAUCAUGGAAAGACAUUGAUAAAGAGCAAGCAUCUGCAUAACAUUUUCCAUGAACUGUUGCACAUAUCCGAAGUAGUGUUCAAGCAAUGCCUGCUCGCCAUUUUCGCUGAACUACGCAGGACUAAAGUAGCAGCAUUGUCAGCUUGUUGCAUGCUCUACAAACCAAACUGGAUAAUAUGGACUUCAAAUGAAUGCAUAAGUUUCAAUUCAGCAAAAUUAGAGAGCUAAUAAAAGAGGACCUAUUGCAGAAGGCCUGCAGAUUUUCCCUCUUCCAAUAGUGGUCUAAAGAUUCCCAGUUCGGUGACUGAACUUCAGCAAUAGAUUCCAUAUCUCGUUACAAAACGACAAAAUUUAUACUUGAUGUUGCAAAAAUGAAGCUCGUUGUUUCCCCGUGUGUCAGCUAGUAGCCAAGUGAGAGUUGAACUUCACUAGCAUUCUGCUUACGCCAUCAUCAUCUUUAGUGCUCAAACGAGGAAUAAAUCAGAACAUAUCAAACAAACAGAACAGUUUCCAGUAAUGGACUACUUGGACCCUGCUUGCAUUACAAUACUUGGGAAAUAUCGGAUUUCAUAUCAUCUCUACCAGUACUGAUCGAAUCAGUCAAGCUUAAAGAGGUUGGAACCCAUCCCAAUCUUUGCAUAACGCCAAGAACCUUUGAAGCUUCGUCUUCAUUACCUGACUUGUAAAAACCAAGUAAAAGAGUAUUACAUGUCUUAGAGCUAAGAGAAAGUUCUUCUUUUCCCAUUUCACUAAGCAACUCCAGUACUGUAGAUAUUUGUUUUUCCUUGCAGAGGUGAAAUAUUAAUGCGUCGAACACAUCAUCCUCCAACUUUAUACCCUCGACCAAGCUUUUGUUGAGCAGCUUCAAGGCUUCAAGAGAUUUUCCUUCCUUGCAGUAGGCACUAGCCAUCACACCAUAUGCUAUUGCAUCACACGCAAUCCCCCUAGCUUCCAUAUCCUUAAACAAUGAAAUCAUCUUAAAUCUAUUUCCUAUCUGGUUAUAACUGAGUAAAAGUGAAGUAUAUGUAAGAGUAUUUGGUAUGAUAUUUCUCGUUUCCAUAUCUAGAAAAAGCUGCUCUGCCUCCUCCAUCAUUUCUGCUUUGCCGUAUGCAUCGAUCAGAAUCGUGUAUGUCACAAUAUUCGGUGUCAAUUUUUUAUCUACCAUAUCAUCGAACAACUCCCUCGCUUCAAUCACUUUUCCAUGUUUGCAGAAACUAUCAAUCAAAGAGUUGAAAGCAGAAAGGGAACCAACACUUUUCUGCUGGGCUUCG